UCGCCAAUUAAUUAAUAAAAGCGUUUCCACGCGGAAUAAAAGAGCUUUCUUCGGGUUUAUUCUGCUUGAUUCUUGAUAAUUUUCUCGUGUCUUAAGCUGAAUGAGGUUUGGAGUUGUAUGUUGAAUGAAGUUUGCAGGUUUGAUUCAAUCCGUGACGAUUUUGUUUGAUAUAAAAUGGGGAUGAAUCGAAAUGUACCUCAAGCGGUAUCAAAGAUCGGCGAUUUCGAGCUUAGGGCUUCCUCUUGUGAAUUUGAUUUAGAUUAGGUUUUUCCCUGGUUAGUAAUGCAGAGAAUUAACGAUUUAAUAAGGGUAAAACAAUAGAAAAGUCCGCCAUCUGGAAUCAGCUUUCUCCCCUUGGAAUUUGAGGAAUGUGGUGUUUUUCAGGCCCUCGCUACCUGCUCUUUUGUUUCACAUCCGGUGGUUGGGUAAAAUCGUCUCUUCGAGGGUCGAAAUGUGACGCAAAGAAGCUUCUCAACUUGUAUUUUAAAACGUUGUGAGAUUUUUGAUGAAGAAAAUAAUUUAAAUAUUGAAUGCUUGGCUCGUUAAAUGGAAAAGAAAAAAAAAAGAGAAAAAAAAUUGUGCUGAAAUGUUGGUUGCAUAAGGUGUAAAGGCCCGAAUGGUCUCAGUCUCCCCUGCUCGUUGUACUGAAAGAUGAGAAGGAAAAGAUAAGAAACCAGGAACUUCGAAAUUUUUCAGUGGAACGAGGGUGAAUAUAACAUGGAGGUCCGGUCCUUGUUGGAAUUGGAAACGAUCCCAAACAGAUGAUUUGGCAAGACCCUGAUAUCUCGCAAAAAUUUGGAGAUGAUUUCAAUUGGUUCCUUUCUUCGAUUGCUUCACCUCAAUUCAACUCCCCUGGGAUUCGGCACCGGGCGUUGAUUCAGUUCGUUGGUGGUUUCCUCCUCUUGGUGUAGCUUGCUCCCCUGAUUGCGAAAAGAUCCCGGUUCCUUCUCCCGGCAGUGGCUGUAUUUUCGGCCUUCCCUUCGUCUUGGUCGUGAUACUCCCCUGAUUGCAAAAUUCCUUUCUGGAAGUCCCUGUGCCUUUUCCUUUUCUUCCCACUGCUUGGAAAAUGGUUUUCUUUUCUUCUGAGGCCCUUGUGGACUGAUCUCCUCUGUUGUAAAAUGGCUUCUGUUUUCCCUUGGAGACCUUGUGGAUUUGCUCCUUUCCCAAAAUUCUUGCGAAUUCCUGACUUCCUUCGAAGUCCUUGUGGGUUCUUGUCCUUCUCGGAUUCCUCGUGGCGUCUGGUCCUUUUUCUGAGUCCUUCUGGAAAAUGGCGGCGGUGUCCUUCUCGAUGUUGAUGCAUCGGCCCCGUGGGUUGGCUGAAGGUCCUGCCGGUGGUGGAGAACAUUGCUAGCUAAAUUCCCUGAAAGGUGGUUAAAAAACUGAAAGUCGAAACUUGUCUCCAAAGAAGCUGGUGAUCCGUGGCUGCAUUCCCUAGAGAGAGAAACAUUUACCCUAACUAAUAAUUUCAAGUGAACUCCAUUAGCGCAAAUUUCCUUUCCUUCAACACACAGUUUUAAAGCUUGAAAUCCUGGUCACGGCACCACUGUAACCGUUCGGGGGUCUGGCCUUGUCAAAAUAUUUAGUUUUGAGGUGAUCGUCUAGAGAUUGUUUGGAGGACCGCUACGUUGUCGUGUAGAUUUGGAGAUUCGUUAUUUCAAGCACUGUGUGUCUGGGAAAGGAAAACGCAAAGAGUUCGGCCCAAAAUGUUUAUUCACUAAAUUUACAGUCAUUGGUGAUAGUAUGCAACACGUUAUACAAUUCAGAAGUGAGUAUAGACAACAAGUUAAACACUAAUCCUAGGCAACCAGCUAAUCGAGUGUUGAAUCUCGGAGAACUGAGCGGGAAAUUUGAAUGCAAAGUUGAUUACUCGGACCCAACCUGGUGAUUCUAGAAAGACGGUUGCAAGAGGGACUCCCAGAGGUUCCGACCACCGUGUGCUCUCCAUUCCCUAACCUUGGUUGGGCCAUUGCACUCACUGGGACUGCCGAGGUCUUUUUCCCUAGUGUGAUGGCAAGUUCCAAAGGGAGACAGAAAGAUAGUUACUACUCAAACAUGCAGCCAAAUUAAGCCUUCGUAAUCAACAGUUUGUUUUAAUUAAGCAAAAGAGCUCUCGUCAAAUUCAACACGUACAUAUCACGUGCACCUAACUAAACUUAAGUAUUUUUACAGUAAGCGAAAGUCUAGUAAAAAUAAAAUAAAUGACAAGAAAGGAUUAAGUUUGCGCCCUGUGGAAAAGAAUAAUUAACGCUCUGUAAAAGAAAAGAUUAAUUAACGCUCUGUAAAAGAAAGGAUUAAUUAACGCCCUGAAAAAGAAAAGAGUUAGAUAAAGAUCCUCCCCUGAGACUUCCAACCGUUGAAGGUGGUGAUCCUGGUGGUGUGACGAAGAGUUUGCCUCUGUGAGACCUGGAGGUAUCUCUCGAGGUACAUUUCACCGUUUGGCGCUCAACCCGUCGCAGACAAAGAAGCUGCCAUGGUGAAAAACCCCAGCUGAAAGUUGAACCAAUCUCAUCUUUUGAAGAGGCGCUCAACCCGUCGGAGACUAAGAAGCUGCCUGAGAUUUUCGUUCAACUCCAGGAGAAUAUUUCUCAAUCAAUCUUUCCAACCCGUCGGCGGGAGAGAUUGAUCGGCUUCGCGAGUUAGUUGGCUCAACCCGUCGCAGACAAAGAAGCUCAACAAAACUGGCGGCUGGUGCGCUCAACCCGUCGAAGACAAAGAAGCUGCACCUGAAUUAAGUUGGUAACUGAAUCAAUCCUUUAUUUGAAGUUGGCGCUCAACCCGUCGGAGACUAAGAAGCUGCCAAGGAUUUACAUCCAGCACCAGGAGUUACUCCAAACAGUCUUUCCGACCCGUCGGUGGAAAAAAUGAGUUUGGAACGCAAAGCUAGUUGGCUCAACCCGUCGAAGACAAAGAAGCUCAACUACAGCAGUGAGACGAGUGCAAGCGUUGUCUCCGAAAAGACGUACAAACACUGUCUGAUUUUCCUCUUCCAAGCGGCAACUAUUUAUAGGGGUUGCGUGACGUCACUGGUUCUGUGGCCUACGUGACUAACAAGAAAUAUUGUUUAAAGUUGAUAAACAAUGCGUUAAUAUCUUCGAAGGAUUGACAGGAAGUUUGCAAACGUCUCUGGGUGAUGUCGAGAUGUGAUAGAAUCGACGUAUUUAUUCCUCAAUCGCCAAUUAAUUAAUAAAAGCGUUUCCACGCGGAAUAAAAGAGCUUUCUUCGGGUUUA